GCUUUCAGAAGGAGCCAGCGCUACACAUUAGAACUGCUUUCAGCUGUUUGAGAGAACUUGUCGGCAGUACGAUAAACUGCGAAAACGUGAGGCUUUCCUGGAGCAGUUCCGUAAGGAAGACAUUUUUAAGGACAACUUUGAUGAACUGGAUAAUUCAAGGGAAAUUGUGCAGCAGUUAAUAGAUGAGUACCAUGCAGCUACUCGUCCAGACUACAUCUCUUGGGGAACCCAGGAUAAAUAAAAGGCCCUAUAAGGGUUAAGAGCUUGAGUACAAGGAGUGACAGUCCUGAGAGAGAACACAAUCCUUAACUCUAAAUACCACUGUCCUCCAAGUCAAAAGACAUUAAAACCUGGAAAGUAACAAGCAUUACCUUAAAGAGCAAGAGAAAUAUACAAAACAUGUAACAGUUCUGUUGUCGAGACCGUUGUUGCCUCCCAUUUCAUCUGUGCAGUUUCUGGAUGAUUUGUUAUUUGGGCCUUUUCACUUGUGUGUUUAUGUGCUACAUUUUAGCAUGUAACAGUAGGGAUAUAUAGUUAAUUUAUAUUCAUAUUGUUUAUUGGAGUAAAUUGCUUUCACUCACCGCUUACUAUUAUUUGCCUGCACUCUGGUUGGGGGACACCAUACUGUUUUAGCCAGAAAGUGCUUCGAUGCUGGUAGCAUAGUGCUCGCUAGGAGCGUUUUCUGGCCAAAAUGAUAUUCCCCAAUCAGACUACAGGCUCUGUUAGCUGGCACCUCUGGUCGGGAAAACUGUUUUGCUACAAUAGGUGCCUUUUAAUAACAUUGCUUAGUUCCACAGAAUUUCCUUGCUAUAAAUGUUAUGUUUUCUUUCGCACUUAUUUUGAUAUUCCAUAUUAAAAAAUCUAAAAAGCA